AUAUGCAGUAGUCACCUGCCAGAACGAUAAUUGCUCUCAGUGAGGUCUAAAAGACUGGAUCAGGGGCUGUUGUGAAUUUAUCAUUAAACCCAGCUGUGACCUCACUGAACGUUUCUCUUUGUGUCUCACAAUACAAGGGGGCAGACGCAGCCUGCCCUCUAAAGACAACUCUCUUCCUUCACACAAAACUACAAGCACCUACUUACACAUACAUCCUUCACUCAAAAUUCAAAAUUAUCAUGGUGACUCCUACUUCAACCACGGAGUCCCCAUCUGGGAAGGGAACCACCCAGGUCGGACUGGUCUUCCGGCAUCAACCCUAAGUGUCUUGACACCCCUCUCAACUUUUUCUUCAUUAACUCCUUCAACAUUCGCGGUCUUAGAUCUAAUUUUCAAUCUGUAGAACACCACCUCUCCUCUACUAAACCUCAUCUUUUUUUUUUUUUCCCACUAAAACAUGUGUCUGAGUAACUGACAAUAGCCCUUUUCUGUUCCCUCCUACUUUCUCUAUCUCCGUCUUCAAUCCAAAGCUGGGUGUUGCAUUUAUAUGCACAAUAAUUUAACCUGCUCUCGUGCCCACGCUCUUGAAUCUUCCGAGUUUUCCAUUAUCUGGUUACGACUACAGAGUCACUCUCAAACUAAAUUUAUAUGCGCUGUAUAUCUCUCAUCUAACUCUUCUGACUAUAAGAAAUUCUUUGAUUACUUAACUUCCAAAGUGGAGCACAUUCUGAUCCUCUUCCCUUUUCUUGGAGACUUCAAUGUUCACCACCGGCUUUAGCUUUCCUCUCCCUUCACUGACCAUCCUGGUGAACUAGCCUUCAACUUUGCUAUCCUUCACGACCUAGAGCAAUUGCUGCAACACCCUACUCGUAUUCCAGACCGUCUUGGAGAAACACCCAACAUUCUUGACCUUUUCCUAAUCUCUAAUCCUCAUGCUUAUGCUAUUACUCGAUCUUCUCUGUUGGGCUGUUGAUCACUAUCUCAUGUGUAUCUUGUCUUAUCGCUUUAAUCCCUCCUUAGGAUCCCUCUAAGCGUAGGUGCCUCUGGCGUUUUUGCCUCUGCUAGAAGGGGGACCUGAGGAGGUAUUUUACUGAUUUUCCUUGAAAUGACUAAUGCUUCUGUGACAGAGACCCAUCUCUGUAUGCCGAGUGCAUAACAGAGGUGAUAGUGUCUGGCAUAGAGGUGUACAUUCCUCGUUCUUUUUUCUCGACCUACAUUUUCCAAACCUUGGUUUAACACAGCAUGUUCUUGUGCUAUACAUUAUAGAGAGGUGGCCCACAAAAGGUACUUCAGCCUUCCAUCACCAGAAUCUCAUGCACUUUAUAUUUCCGCCUGGAACCAUGUCUGUUUUCCAACUAGCUAAAAACUCCUUCAUUAACAGAAAGUGUCAAAAUCUUUCAAGAUCUUACUCCCCUCAUGACUCCUGGCAUCUAGCCAAAAACAUCUUCAAUAACUUUGCUUCUUUUUUCCCUUCUUUAUUUCAACCAGAUGGCACCACUGCUAUCACAUCUAUUUCUAAAGCUGAACUCUUCGCUCAAACCUUUGCUAAAAACGCUACCUUGGACGAUUCAGGUGUUGUUCCUCCUUCUCCUCCACCCUCUGACUAAUUUAUGCUACCUGUUAAAAUUCUUCGCAAUGAUGUUUUCUGUGCCCUCGCUGGCCUAAACCCUCGGAAGGCUUAUGGACCUGAUGGGGUCCCUCCCAUUGUUCUCCGAAACUGCGCCUCCAUGCUUCCACCUUGCCUAGUAAAACUCUUUCGACACUGUCAACAUCUACCUUUCCCUCUUGCUGGAAGUUUGCCUACAUUCAACCUGUUCCUAAAAAGGGUGACCGUUCUAAUCCUUCAAACUACCGUCCUAGUGUUUUAAAUUCCUGCCUAUCUAAAGUUUUUGAAUCUACUGAUUUAGAUUUUUUGAAUCUAAGCUUCUUAAACAUCUAUCACUUCACAAACUUUUGUCUGAUCUCUAGUAUGGGUUCCAUCAAGGUCGCUGUACUGGUGAUCUGGGUUUCCUUACUGAUUCUCUGUUAUCCUCUUUUAGAGAUUUUGGUGAAACUUUUGCUGUUGCCUUAGACAUAUCGAAAGGUUUUGAUAGUCUGGCAAAAAGCUUUGAUUUUCAUACUAGCCUCCUACGGCUUCUGUCCUCUCUGUAACUUCAUCUCAAGUUUCCUUUCUGACCGUUCUAUUGCUGCUGUGGUAGACGGUCACUGUUCUCUUAAAUCUAUUAACAAUGGUGUUCUUCAGUGUUCUGUCCUGUCCCCAACUCUCUUCCUAUUAUUCAUCAAUGAUCUUCUAAACCAAAGCUGCUAACUCUGUACAAGAGCUUUAUCUGUCCAUGUAUGGAGUAUGCUUCACAUGUCUGGGGGUUCUACUCAUACUUUUAGACAAGGUGAAAUCAAAAGCUUUUCGUCUCAUCAACUCCUAUCCUCUAACUGACCGUCUUCAGCCUCUUGCUCAUCGUCGCACUGUUGAAUCUCUAUUUGUCUUCUACCGCUAUUUUCAUGCUAACUGCUCUACUGAUCUUGCUAACUGCAUACCUGCCCUCCUGCGGUCUCGCUGCACAAGACUUUCUUCUUUUCUCUUACCCCUAUUCUGUCCACCUCUCUAAUGCAAGAGUUAACCAGUAUUCUCUGAUAAACUCUGGAACUCGUUGCCUGCUUCUGUAUUUACAGCUUCCUAUAACUUGAACUCCUUCAAGAGGGAGGUUUCAAGACACUUAUCCUUCAGUUUUUUAUUACUGCUUCGGACCCUAUUUGGGGACCCGCAUCUCAGUGUUUUAUUUUUAUUUUUUUUAAUCAGAUUUCUGUUGCCCUUGGCUGGUGUCCCUCCAAAAAGAAAAACAAAAUUAUAUAUAUAUAUAUAUAUAUAUAUAUAUAUAUAUAUAUAUAUAUAUAUAUAUAUAUAUAUAUAUAUAUAUAUAUAUAUAUAUAUAUAUAUAUAUAUAUUACAAGCACGGGUAGAAGUUGGUUGACUAUGGGUGUGUUGUACUCUUUCUUGUAGCAUAAGGUAGUGAAACGAGUAUGAAAUAAAACUUACAAUCAUUAUUAAACUAAAUAUCCACUACCUGAAGCGGGCAUAGCGCGUGCAACUUACCUAGGACACAGUGAUCCCGCUUGGGUUCAAAUAACUAUGUACAGUUAACAUAAUAUAUACAAGCUAAUGAACAAUGAAGGAAACCAAAGGUGACGAAACGGAUAAUUUUCCGUUUCACCCAACCAACGGUUUUCUGAUGUGGCUUAUGUGUUUCUGGUGAGAUGUGUAGUGUAUUGACUGAUGGUCUACAUCACUUCCGUCGCAAAUGCGUAAUUUUCAAGUAAUGAAUUUAUCAACUUAUGCCUACAUCUCUUCCCCAACGAUCUUGGGGGACCUGUGGGAAAUCGGGGUUUUUGGGUGGGGGAUCAUUAAAACGAGAGUCGCGCGUUGCAAAACAUGUCGAAAAUCAAAAAAAUUACAUAAAAUAAAAUAUAUGAAAAUACAUAAAUUACACUUUUGACACCGGUAACGGCGGCGGCGGCUGAGGUGAGCGUUGCUGUUAUUGUUGAGCAGCGUUGCCAACGAUUCGCUACAUUUUUUGCUUUAUCCGCUAUAUUUAGCGAAAGCCCGCCCAAGGGUUACUAAUCCUAAAUUAGUGCGAUACAUUAGAAAUAAGUAGCUGUAGCGAUAGCGUCGCUAAAAUUUUACUGAAAUAUUGAUAGUGGUAGUAGUGUAUUGUAAAAAAAUUAAAAGUCGGCAUUAGUAACAUAAUAUUGGAAAGGGGGUAUCAACUUGACUUGGAGUUGAGGUUUGGGAUAUCGGGAAUUAAAUAUUUUAACAACUACUCAUUUAGAGCUUCAGACAUGUUUCGAAGUUUCGGUCCAUUGAUUUGCUUCGUGUAGGCUUUUCCAUUACCAGUCAGUUUCAGAAUGGCUACGUUGUGUGCUGGAUACUUCUACAUGUACUGGAAGUUUAUUAAGGAGUUCUAUCUGGACGACAAUGCUGCAGUCCAAUUCUUAAGAAAUCACGGUGUCCUUCCUUUACAAGUACAAUGCCCAUACUGUGAAGUUCCCUGUACUUAUGGGGAAGAUAGGCAUUCUUGAUAUUGUGACCGGUUGACCAAAAUAACCAAGAUAAAGAAAAGAAGGCAGUGUAACUUUACCACUUCAGACUACAAAGGAACUUUCCUCAACGAAACUCACCUGAAACCUUCAGAGAUAGUGUUUUGUCAGCCGCUGCCUUCAAAAAACAUGGAAUCAUGCCACUUUGGGCAUUCGGUGGUAUUGAGCGAAUCUCUGAAAAGUGUUUCAUUGUGCCCCUUGUUGAUAAGGACAGGAGUGCUGGUACGCUGAUACCUAUUAUCGAAAAAUACAUCCGAUCUAGGAGUGUAAUUUAUAGUGACUCGUGGCGUGCGUAUAGCAAACUGUGCGAUGAAGGUUAUACGCACUACAUGAUUAACCACAAACAACACUUUGUGGAUCCUAACAAUCCCAGUAUCCACACUCAGAACAUUGAGCGCCUGUGGUUGGAUCUUAAGCAGUGGGCGAAGCGGCCAGGGUUAAAGAGCAAGUACUUCAAGCAGUACUUUGCUUGUUAUAUGUUUCUUCAUAGAUUCAAGAAAGAACAAAUUAUCCACAAUUUUUUUGUCGAGGCCGCUCGACUGUACCGCCCACAGUCUAACAGGCAGCAGCCAUCUGGCCUUCCCGUCAUCCCACAGCUGCAGGAAGAAGAGUCUGAUAGCAAGUCAGAUAACGACGCAGCAGCAGCAGCAGCAGCAGCGACAUUACCACAACCCUCAACCUAUGGCUCAUAAGAAACACAUAAGCCCCAUCAGAAAAUCGUUGGUUGGGUGAAACUGAAAAUUGACCGAGGGCACUGCAGGAGUUAUCCACUGAAUCGAACACUACCAGGGACCCUUUGACCUGGUGUGCAUUGGAUCUACAGGUGCUGGUUACCAUGAACAAUGGAUCCCUCCCAUCUCACCUACUGCGUGAGAGGCGAGGAAGGCGAGCAAGACAUGCCAAGAAGUGAUGGAACAUCUGAGGGUGAUCCAAAACAGCGGCUUGACUCACGUUGACACGGUGUGCAAGUUACCUAAGCGGAAGACGUAAUGAACACAUGGAUCAAUCACAUCAGACGCGUCUGUUUAUCAAACUAUAUAACUCAUAUCCAUCUACUUUAUUUCACAAUUUUUAUCUUCCUGUAUUGUUAAUUUGUGUUUACUCAAUUUCAUCUUCAAUUCUUAUAAUACUCAUGUACCUAUUUUUCCGCUACAUGUUUUCCUUACGUUUACUGAACCUUUAACAUCAUAAUAAUUAUUCACCUCUUCAGGAACUCAAGUUAUAUAUCUUCGUCUAAUAACCUCGGCAAUUUCAAUAACUUUGUAUAAUUUCAUCUCAAUAAUCAAUCACUUCAGUAUAUCUUAUCAUUUUUUUAAUACCGCUCUAAUGUUCUUCUGUCAUCAACUCCUCAAUAUUUGUCUCAAUACAAUACCUAUAAUUAUUUCUUUUGUCUUCUUUUAGUUCAGUUACCUCAAUAUCUAUUCUGUCAUCAACCAAAUAUUCUGUCACUUCAGAGAUCACUUCAGUAAUAUCUGAUUCAAGAUAUCAAUUUUCUCUCAAAACUCUAAUCAUCUAUAUAUUUUCACUAUAUACCAUAUCAACCUGCUAAAUAAUAAUACACUAAUAUACCCUCUUUGCCUGGGAUCUAAUUAAUGUCAAUAUCAGCAAAUAAUAUUAAUUGUCACCUGAUAAUUUUCUGUUAUAAGUGGUCUUAGAUAUAAUCAGCAGCCGCUACAGAAACUGUAGUCUGGGUACUUAAGCAAAACGCUCUCCUUACUUGAAAUUAUUAUCAGUAACAAGAAGGCAAUAGCGUUUUCAAUAGUGCAUCAUUCUAAUAAAGCAUUAUCUUAAUUUUCUUAUCAACAAGUAAGAUCUCCAUUUGUUCACAAGAGCAAUCAUUUUACAAAACAUCACUAUAGGAACGUCUUUUAUUCGCCAUCAUUAUCCUUGUCAUGGUUAAUUAUUAUUUAGCACAUCCUUGUUUUUGUUACCAGUAUUAAAAGUAUUAUUGCUAUUAUUAUAACUAUAUUUCAUUAUUCUCCGUUUGGAUUACCAGUAUCAAUGCCUUUAUAAUCAUACCUCUAUUAUUGUCAUUAUUUUUAUUAUUGUUGCUAUUGCUAUUAUUUCUAAUAUUAUUAUUAUUAUUAUUAUUAUUAUUAUUAUUAUUAUUAUUAUUAUUAUUAUUAUUAUUAUUAUUAUUAUUUUCAUCAUUAUCAUUACUAUUAACAUCAUUAUUGUUAUUGUUAUAUUAAUUGUUAUUAUUAUUAUUAUUAUUAUUGUUAUGUUUUAUUAUCAUAUUUUCAUCACCAUUAUUGUUAUUACCAUUAUUUUAAUGAGUUUACCUGCUAUAAACAAACCGUAAAGCUGUCCUCCUAUCUCAAAUUCUUCCUCGGGUAUCAACACACAAUUACACAAUUUACCAAUUUAAGUAGCUGAACAAGUUACAAUUGUUUACACUUUACAUUAUAUGUUCGGCAAUGAUGUUAAUUUUCCCAUUCAUUAUCGUUUCUCUAAAUGGGCUACUUUUAAUCUUAUCUGAAUACUUAUAACUUCUUUUGUUACUUGUCGUAUAUGAAUAUUAGAAUCCAUAACAACAAUAGUGAUAUUCUUUAGUACCAACUCGAGUUUUCAAGCUUAUCUUGUCAUUAUGUUGAAACUCCAUUCCUUAAAAUUAUAUCCUUAUGACGUAAACUUCAUCAGCAUCUUUAUCAGUAUCCAUUGUACUGUGCAAAAUAAAGAACCAUCAAUGUUGCGCUUCCAAAUCAAUAAACUUAUUUUUACUACUAUGAUCCAUGACAUUUCAUUCACAAUCUAUAUCCACUUCUACAUCUCUUCCCAUCUGCUCAUAAACUCUAUAAGAUGCUCCUUACCAACCCAAACAGCAAUUCUCUGUGUUCCUGACUUACUUCACAUGUCAUAAGAACUUUAUGCUGGGCUUUGUAGCAGCAAUUAAGCUGUCAUAUAAAUAUUGCAGACAUCUGAUGCAAAACGGAAAACCAAGGAAGUCAGUCUUGCAAUUGAAUGUUUAUACAAGCUGACCGUCAGCUUGUAUAAACAUUUAAUGUUUCGGCUAAUGUAAGAAAAUAUUUAAUCUCAUGUACAUUUUUGUGUUGCAUUGGAUACUUGUACUUACUUGCACUGAGGUUUUUCUUGUUCAGUAUAUCACUGAGUCUGUCAUAAAGUAAAAUUAAAUGAAUUGUGGCUUCACGACUCGCAAAUUCCCGUAAUAUACUCAAGAGAGAAACUCGGAGACUGUGCCAUGGAUUCAGUGAGUAGCUGGGCAACCAGUUUCACGUUAUUUUUUUUUAUUCUUUUACCAUGCACUGUGUGCAAAGCUCAGUGUACUUCCAUUUCACAACUCUCAUUUAGAAAUGCUCGUGUGAAAGUGGUCCCACAUCUAUGUUUCAAAUUUGACUACUAUAUCCAUUAAGCCCCCUCCCCCCACAAAAAAAAAAAAAAAAAAUGUUGACUUCGCUUUUUUUUUUUUAACAUUCCUGUUUUAGGCUUCCUCUACAAGCUAUCGCGAUUUUUUUUAUUAUAGUAUAUAAUGUGGGAUGUUGUAUUGCUUAUAACUAUAUAAACAUUGAUUUAUUGUUGCAACAACCCGGAGAAAGCAAAUGAUUGAGGAGAACUGAACCUCCUUCGAGUUUCCAGGUAGUUUUAAAUUGGUAGUAUGAAAUGACGAGGAACGAACUCUGACUUAUGCAUGAAACCGCAUUCUUAGUGAAGUUUGUCGCGCGAGGACUUACGAUUCAGAAUUAAAAGUUUUAAGAUUUGAAGUAUACCAUUCAGGUGACAUUUGAACCAAGAAAAGUUUGAAGAUUAUCAUAAUGUCAGCUCAGAAAUGUAAUGUCAACUUAAGAAAACCAAAGUGCAAUCCUCUUAGCCUUCGUGUAACUAGGUGGGUCUUAUUUGUAUUAUUCUGAAGCAGAAGAAAAUAACAUUUGAAUUUUAGCAGAAAGUCGCCAUCCCUGUGCUGUCUCUCAUUCGGCGAUGUUUGAUGCUCCGUAUCACAUUAGUAGAUUCCUCAGUCAUGAACU